CAUAGGCAGUGGCUUGGUUAAGGGAACCCACCGGAGCCUUAGCGAAAGUGAGUCUUCAUAGGGCAAUUGUCACUACUUAUG
rnacentral:rRNA from 1 species